rnacentral:rRNA from 1 species
UACAGAGGGGGCAAGCGUUGUUCGGAAUUACUGGGCGUAAAGGGCGCGUAGGCGGCCUUCUAAGUCGAACGUGAAAUCCCCGGGCUCAACCCGGGAACUGCGUCCGAUACUGGAAGGCUUGAAUCCGGGAGAGGGAUGCGGAAUUCCAGGUGUAGCGGUGAAAUGCGUAGAGAUCGGGAAGAACAUCAGUGGCGAAGGCGGUCUGCUGGGCCGUUGCUGACGCUGAGGCGCGACAGCGUGGGGAGCAAACAGG